GCAUCUGUGGUGGAAUUGGUAGACACGCUAUCUUCAGGCGGUAGUGGAAGUAUUUCCGUGUGAGUUCGAAUCUCAUCAGAUGCACCA
rnacentral:tRNA from 2 species